rfam:Schistosoma curassoni strain Dakar, Senegal genome assembly, scaffold: SCTD_contig0000119
AUUUAACUGAUGAGUCCCAAAAUAGGACGAAUUGGUCGUCCUGGAU